rnacentral:rRNA from 1 species
UACGAAGGGGCUAGCGUUGCUCGGAAUCACUGGGCGUAAAGCGCACGUAGGCGGAUUGUUAAGUCAGGGGUGAAAUCCUGGAGCUCAACUCCAGAACUGCCUUUGAUACUGGCGAUCUUGAGUCCGGGAGAGGUGAGUGGAACUGCGAGUGUAGAGGUGAAAUUCGUAGAUAUUCGCAAGAACACCAGUGGCGAAGGCGGCUCACUGGCCCGGUACUGACGCUGAGGUGCGAAAGCGUGGGGAGCAAACAGGG